UACGUAGGGGGCAAGCGUUGUCCGGAUUUAUUGGGCGUAAAGCGCGUGUAGGCGGCUGGGUAGGUCUGCUGUGAAAACUUGGGGCUUAACCCUGAGCUUGCGGUCGAUACGGGCAUGACUGGAGUUCGGCAGGGGAGACUGGAAUUCCUGGUGUAGCGGUGAAAUGCGCAGAUAUCAGGAAGAACACCUAUGGCGAAGGCAGCUCUCUGGGACGGUACUGACGCUGAGACGCGAAAGCGUGGGGAGCGAACAGG
rnacentral:rRNA from 1 species